UCUCUAAUUGGGUUAAAGAAUUCCUGCUGUUUCCCCCUUUUUCCGUUUGGGAUUUCUGGGUUGUGGCUGAGUUUUUGGUCGAUUUCCAUCCCUUUGGGCGCGGCCUAUCUUCAGAUCUCUGCAGAAUCAAUCUUAUAUAGCUAAGAAACUCCAGACUUAGAGAGAGCAGUUGCAGUAGCUGUGACUACUAUUUGUUUCUCUCUUGAAAAAGAGAUGGGAAAGAAGAUAUGAACAGAGAAAAAAAGGAGUUGAAAGGGAAAGAGAGGGGAGACAGAGAUGGGGAAGUUGGAAAGAAGAAAAAUGUUUUCGAAAUAGGCGGAGAGGGUGAGGAAAAUGUGGUUUCCUCCUAGCCUAACCUUUUAUUUUGUUGGGAAAUUGAUUGAGAUGAUUCAUUUUUUACGAUUCGGUUUCACCCUUUUUUUUUUUUUUUUUUUUCAAUUAUUAUUAUUAUUAUUAUUUUAUUUUAUGAAAUGCUGUUCAGUGAAUUUAUUUUCUAGGCGAUUCAAUUACCCAAAUUGCCCAAAUAUAGAUAUACUGUUUGAGAAGGCAAUUAAAAAUUUACCCAUUUCUAGAAUAUGACGAAAAAUAGAUUGUAUAUGGUUUGUUUUAUAAGAAAGUAUAUUACCAUCAUCAUCCUACUCUUUGGAAAAUUUAAUUGCAAGCUAAGUGUGAGAUUAGGUAUUCGGAAUAGCAAUGUUGUAUAAAGAAGUCACUUAUCCAUAGAAUUUUUGUAAGGUAAAAGAUGCUUAUUGGGGUCAAGAGAUUUUAAUAGUUCUUUUUACAGAUUAUUUGUGGUAGAUAUACUGUAUUGUUAUAGUUUAAGAAGAACUAAAAUGUGUUAGAUCAUUUGGUUCUUGAUAGUUUAAUUUAAGUUUUCAUUUCUUUUCCCAAUUAUGCAAUGCUUUCAACGAAAAAAAGAAAGAUCAUUAUAAUACUAUUUCUGUUUUGUGUAUCUCAUUUGUGACUGCAUUUUCCA